rfam:Brassica napus, WGS project CCCW01000000 data, contig: 5738
GUGACAGAAGAGAGUGAGCACACAUGGUGGCUUUCUUGCAUGUUUUUUUCAAAAUUAGGGUUUCAUGCUUGAAGCUAUGUGUGCUUACUCUCUCUCUGUCAC